UACGUAGGGGGCAAGCGUUAUUCGGAUUUACUGGGUGUAAAGGGAGCGUAGGCGGCGAUGCAAGUCUGAAGUGAAAGGCGGGGGCCCAACCCCCGGACUGCUUUGGAAACUGUAUGGCUGGAGUGCAGGAGAGGUAAGUGGAAUUCCUAGUGUAGCGGUGAAAUGCGUAGAUAUUAGGAGGAACACCAGUGGCGAAGGCGGCUUACUGGACUGUAACUGACGUUGAGGCUCGAAAGCGUGGGGAGCAAACAGG
rnacentral:rRNA from 1 species